CAAAUUUAAUAAAUAUAUAUAUACAUGAGAUGGACUUCCGUUUCCGUUUGAAUGUGAGUGACAGGUGUGCGAAAGAGUGCGAGAGAAAAGGCGAGAAUUUAGCAGGAUAGCAAAGGUGAGGAGAAAAGGAAAUAGGGCAGAGAAGGAGCGGGAAAGACAUAGACGGGAGGUCGGGUGAAGGGAAUAGGGAGGCAGGGAUAGAAGGGAAGGGCGGGUGA